GAAUAUGGGGGGACCAUCCUCCAAGGCUAAAUACUCCUGACUGACCGAUAGUGAACCAGUACCGUGAGGGAAAGGCGAAAAGAACCCCGGCGAGGGGAGUGAAAAAGAACCUGAAACCGUGUACGUACAAGCAGUGGGAGCACCCUUUGGGGUGUGACUGCGUACCUUUUGUAUAAUGGGUCAGCGACUUAUAUUCUGUAGCAAGGUUAACCGAAUAGGGGAGCCGGAGGGAAACCGAGUCUUAACCGGGCGUUAAGUUGCAGGGUAUAGACCCGAAACCCGGUGAUCUAGCCAUGGGCAGGUUGAAGGUUGGGUAACACUAACUGGAGGACCGAACCGACUAAUGUUGAAAAAUUAGCGGAUGACCUGUGGCUGGGGGUGAAAGGCCAAUCAAACCGGGAGAUAGCUGGUUCUCCCCGAAAGCUAUUUAGGUAGCGCCUCGUGAAUUCAUCUCCGGGGGUAGAGCACUGUUUCGGCUAGGGGGCCAUCCCGGCUUACCAACCCGAUGCAAACUGCGAAUACCGGAGAAUGUUAUCACGGGAGACACACGGCGGGUGCUAACGUCCGUCGUGAAGAGGGAAACAACCCAGACCGCCAGCUAAGGUCCCAAAGUCAUGGUUAAGUGGGAAACGAUGUGGGAAGGCCCAGACAGCCAGGAUGUUGGCUUAGAAGCAGCCAUCAUUUAAAGAAAGCGUAAUAGCUCACUGGUCGAGUCGGCCUGCGCGGAAGAUGUAACGGGGCUAAACCAUGCACCGAAGCUGCGGCAGCGACGCUGAUGCGUUGUUGGGUAGGGGAGCGUUCUGUAAGCCUGCGAAGGUGGCCUGUGAGGGUUGCUGGAGGUAUCAGAAGUGCGAAUGCUGACAUAAGUAACGAUAAAGCGGGUGAAAAGCCCGCUCGCCGGAAGACCAAGGGUUCCUGUCCAACGUUAAUCGGGGCAGGGUGAGUCGACCCCUAAGGCGAGGCCGAAAGGCGUAGUCGAUGGGAAACGGGUUAAUAUUCCCGUACUUGGUGUUACUGCGAAGGGGGGACGGAGAAGGCUAUGUUGGCCGGGCGACGGUUGUCCCGGUUUAAGCGUGUAGGUGUGUGUUCCAGGUAAAUCCGGUU
rnacentral:rRNA from 1 species